AUACUGGGGCACGACAUACAGUGCGCAUAGCCUGUAUGACAACCACAAAGCCAGAUCCAUGAAGCAUGCACAGGCACACGAUAGGAGAAGGCAUGAAGUACACGUGGAUGACAGUUUCAUAACUUAACACGCAGGAGCCAGAGUUCUCAGCUCUCACCACAAGCCUUCUGACUACUAAACAAACUCCCACAAUUAAGCUAGCACUAAGGAACAUACUGGCCAGACUCUCAACACACAGAAGCUAAUAUGCCAUGACUUCAGAACAGAUGUCCUGCAAAGGAUGUCCCGAAGAAAGUGACUACAGGAGCAGGUAACAGGGGAGCUGCUCCAGAAAUGUCUCAUCAGAUGGUACCUUGACAAGCGUGGUGACCAGGCGCAGAAAGGCAAUGGUGACCCCAUAUUCGCCCUGGGGCUGCUCACUGUUCAUCAGAAGGCUGCCAUACCCUCCAGCAUUCAUUCCCUCCGCACUAGGGACAGACAGAGGCAGAGGGAUAAAACCGUGAGCAAUGUUCAAGGUUUGAAGAUAGACUACAGCAUUUUCGUCAGCACAGACACCAAAGCUCUUCAAAGGGAAGAAUCAAAUGUAGGCAGUUUUAUAGCCAGGGAAGAAAAGGUAGGCUUAUGCUUUACUGAUGGAAACUCCAGGAGGGCUAGCGUGACAAUCCCAUGAGUCACCAGGGAAACUCCUGCCACGGAAGCAGAGUGAAAUGAGCAUGCUCAGGCAGUAAGACGGGGCCUGGGUUUCAGUCCUGGCCUGGCUCACGUACCCUGAUUGGAGAAGCAGCACACUGUCUGUGCUUGAGAAUAGGACACCAAGUCUCUGGAUCAAACACCCCUGGACUCACUCAGCGGAAACAUGAAUGCCCACACAGCUACUGUAGCUGAGCUACAUGAGAAAAGUCCCAUUCUACCUCUGAAAAGUUUAAAACUGUGAACCAUCCAGGACUCAGAAGCAGAGGCAGGCAGAUUUCUAUGAAUUCAAGACUAGCCUGGUCUACAUAGCAAGUUCCAGGCCAGCCAGAGCUACAUGGUGAAGCCCUAUCUUCAAACCAGAAUUAACCCCUGUGAAGCAGCAGUGUGUCAAGGAGAGCAGCUCUGUGCCCCUUCUCCAUCUCAUCCUCCCCAACCCUCAAGUCCAUGAAGACUGAAGGUUCUUUAAAAUGAAUAAAGGCAGGCUGGACAAGACCAGGAAUGGGUCAUAGCAAGGAGUAAGGUCUACCCACUCAGGGCCUGGCUCACCUAAUCAUCUGAGUCAUGUUGGAGACAGGGUGGGCCACGAAUGGCAAAAAACCUGUGUGACGAAGAUCAGUCCAGACCUAAGAAGGAAGAAGAAGGCUUUUGGUGUGCACGUCCUCCCAGGUGAUUACACCGAAUGUGAUGCUACUGAGCUGCUACAGAGACUUGUCACCUCACCUUUGCUGGGUUUCGAGCAGCCAAGACAGUUAAGCAGUUGACACAAGAAGCAAUGACGUUUACAGGAGGGGAGAUCACCGUCGUCAGCCUGGAUAGAGAGCAAAGCGCUGUGCCCAGGGAAUAAGGAACAAGACUUUCCAGUGCUCACCACAGUGCUCUGAGGAACGGGAGAGCCCUUGGCUAGAGAACCACUGGUAAAGGCCUCCCACAGAGCUCAGGGCAGGCUCCUGGGAAGCAACAGUCACUGCUGCAAGCUCCCAACCACAAAGACUCACCGCUGCAACAGCAUGUAGAUGCGGGAUGUGAUGGGCAGCAGGCAGUCUGCUAUGGACAAGUCUGUGCUGAUGACCUUAUGAACCAAAUCAAUGAUGGGCUUGACCCGCUGGCAAUGCUGGAUCACAUCUGUGGGGAAUACAGCCUGUGACUUCUCAGACCCCAAGCUGGAUGGCUUCCAACUUCACCUUCAAGUUGGGUGUUUGCUCCCAAUCCUGCAAGCACACCCUCUCUGCCUAGUGCUUGCUCUGCAGAGCCCUCCUUACCUGCUGUGGAGACAACGUGGAGCAGCAUUUCAAUCUCGCAGGUGAAGAGGGUCCAGCUGCUGUAAGAGUACUCCCAGCGGACAAGGACAAUCUGGGGAAAAAAAUCAGCAAACAAAAGCCCUGGACAACCUCAAGCAGCCACCGCACCCCAUGACUGUCAAGCGCGCGCUAUUUAAGUAAACAUGAACACGGCAGUUACCAAACCAAUCCCACGGCAGGAAGUAAUCAGAGACCAUGGCACACUAGUCAGAGACCUUAGCUCUCCAUGCUAUAAGACUGGAACAGCAUGUAGCAGCUGAACUUUAGGUUUCAUUAAGCUUCCUUUUCGGGAUCCUGUUUUCAUUACCAUUUUAUGUUUUACUGUAAAUUUUCUAAGGAGACAGUAAAAUUCUAUGCAUUGCACUGU
ensembl:processed_transcript Gm14471 predicted gene 14471